rnacentral:rRNA from 1 species
UUACCGAGUUUACAACUCCCAAACCCCUGUGAACAUACCACUUGUUGCCUCGGCGGAUCAGCCCGCUCCCGGUAAAACGGGACGGCCCGCCAGAGGACCCCUAAACUCUGUUUCUAUAUGUAACUUCUGAGUAAAACCAUAAAUAAAUCAAAACUUUCAACAACGGAUCUCUUGGUUCUGGCAUCGAUGAAGAACGCAGCAAAAUGCGAUAAGUAAUGUGAAUUGCAGAAUUCAGUGAAUCAUCGAAUCUUUGAACGCACAUUGCGCCCGCCAGUAUUCUGGCGGGCAUGCCUGUUCGAGCGUCAUUUCAACCCUCAAGCACAGCUUGGUGUUGGGACUCGCGUUAAUUCGCGUUCCUCAAAUUGAUUGGCGGUCACGUCGAGCUUCCAUAGCGUAGUAGUAAAACCCUCGUUACUGGUAAUCGUCGCGGCCACGCCGUUAAACCCCAACUUCUGAAUGUUGACCUCGGAUCAGGUAGGAAUACCCGCUGAACUUAAGCAUAUCAAUAAGCGGAGGAAAAGAAACCAACAGGGAUUGCCCUAGUAACGGCGAGUGAAGCGGCAACAGCUCAAAUUUGAAAUCUGGCUCUCGGGCCCGAGUUGUAAUUUGUAGAGGAUACUUUUGAUGCGGUGCCUUCCGAGUUCCCUGGAACGGGGACGCCAUAGAGGGUGAGAGCCCCGUCUGGUUGGAUGCCAAAUCUCUGUAAAGUUCCUUCAACGAGUCGAGUAGUUUGGGAUGCUGCUCUAAAUGGGAGGUAUAUGUCUUCUAA